UAGCAGACGAGCAGUGUUACUGCUGCAGGAAACUCUGCCUGUUUCCUCCCUCGAGUCCCAGAAACACAGUAAAAACAAAGCCAUUGAUUUGUGUAUGGAUUAGAAGAUCAUCGUUUUACAACCAAACACAAUUGGAAUGCCUCUGAUAUUGUUCAGCCUGAUGAGGUCUGGCUAAAAGUUUUACUGAGGAAGUGCAUCAGGACCUAGAGGAAGCCCUUGCCAGUAUCCGCCCUCUAUCUACUGCACAGGGAAAGGGAAAAAGAAACGCUAAUGCUGAAGGGAAUGUUUUCAAAUCAAAAAGUCGUUCGGACGGGGCCAAACCGAGCCUUCGAACCUGAAAACAAUGUAAGAGGAGCUGAGAAAUGCUAUCAGGGCUUUUAGAGGUCUCGCUGCUGGUAGCGUUCAGCAGGCUUCGCUUCACAGCGGGACGAACUUCACCGUGCCAGCAGUGUGUGCCAGCAUUGUCAGCAAUGUCAAAAAAGAGAAAGAAACGGAGAAAAAAGAGAAAAGUAUUAUCCUAAAUGACUGGGGUAGAGCUUAGAAGCAGAGAAGUCCACCACAACGAGCAACAAUCUGUGAUUGAUAGUUGCAUUGUCGUGGAACUCGUGGUGGGAAGUAGUUAAAAAUUGUAAAAAUCAUAAAUAUCAUCUUAAUAUCAAGAAACCGCUGCAUUCAUAUACAACCAAAACAAAGCUAUGUUCACCGUGAUAGAAUAUUUUUAGAGUAAUUUCAGAAAUAAAAUGGUUCCAAAGCCAUUUUAUUCAGUAAAAAAGUGUUUUCUGCCUUGUUUCAAUGUUUCAGGCACUAUACCUUAUUCGUGCAACUUGUCAGAAAUCUUUCGAAUAGUUUUCACAAAUGAUUAUUCGCAUUUCUAUUAAAAUUAUAAAUGUUUUUACUGUAUGAGUGUCCUAUUUCAAAACCCUUAUGAGGCACCUGUAUGAAAAAGUGCACCCGAUUGUCCCGAUAUACUGUAUACUUUCACGAUCAUGUUUUUUCACGCACACAUA